UACGGAGGGUGCAAGCGUUAUCCGGAUUCACUGGGUUUAAAGGGUGCGUAGGCGGGUAUAUAAGCCAGUGGUGAAAGCUCCGGGCUUAACUUGGAAACUGCCAUUGAUACUGUAUAUCUUGAAUGUCGUUGAGGUAAGCGGAAUGUUGCAUGUAGCGGUGAAAUGCUUAGAUAUGUUACAGAACACCAAUUGUGAAGACAGCUUACUAAGCGAUGAUUGACGCUGAGGCACGAAAGCGUGGGGAGCAAACAGG
rnacentral:rRNA from 1 species